AUAUGCAUUUAACGUUGUUGUGCUGCGAUGUCUAUAAGGGCGAUUAAAAAAUCCUUGGCGAUUGUUGUGGCAUCUGGCGCUGACACGACCAACUCUCUCUGUCUAUCCCCAACAGUUUAUUUAUUUCGCAAGAAUUCCGUGGAGGAAACAUUUUUUUCCAUGUUUAAAGUCUUGCUUGGCGAUGGGAUGAGUCAUUUUCUGAAGCAAUGAGAUGAAAGGAACCUUCAUAGCAUCCAACAAACAAGGAUUUCUGUGAGGCAUUGUGUUUUCCACAUUGCAGACCUCUGUAUCACCAACUUAAAUGAGCCUCCACCUGUCCACCAUGAUCUCCCCCAAACUUAAUCCACACCUCUUCUUCAGGAAUUGCCCCAUCGUGAGUUGUGAGAAAUCCAUUCCUGUGGAAAGAUGAUGGAACAUGAACAUAUGGUCUGUGACUCUGCUAUGGACCUAGCGAAUCACUGUCGACUGUCCAUGGUUCAAGUGGGGCUACAGCAGUGAUGGAGACACUACCUUUGACUGUGUGAAGAUCAGACGAUGCAAUUCCCAUUGGUCAGCCCCCCCCCCCCCCAUCCCAAGGAGCCAUGCACUGCCAGAGAUCUUGAGCCAGGUCUUCAGUGGUUAUCCAUGGAUGGAUAAGAAGAACGGAGACAAUAAAGAUAGUGAGGUAUCUUGUUGAUUUCGGCGUGGCCAUCUUCCUGACGCUUCUUCCAAACAAUGAAACUGGAGGUUCUUUCCACGAAUCUUGGAAUAUGUGCAAUUGAAUGUAUAGCUGCUUCAAGUGUGAUUCCAGCUUUUUCAAGAGCUUCUUGACGUUCUACUUCUACUGGCCUUUAUUUAAUUUAACAUGUCUUGUGAAUGUUUUUAGGAGGCCAGUUUUGCCACAAACACAGUAAACCUCAAGUUCACAUAUAGUUAAAAACAGGGACUACUUGUAACAUCAUCUAGGAAAAAGUUCUUGCUACAAAUUGGACAUGGCGAAACUUUUCAUUCAUUAUGUCUUCAGUAUUUACUGAGGGACUCACUACAAAAGGAAGUUGGGGUCAAAAGGUCAAGUUUUUGUUCAACUUGGUCACAUUCCUUUAUUUCUGCAUCAAUUAUGUUCACACUUACUACAUCUGAUCCCUGGGUAAUACUACAUGUACUUUCAUUAGGAUAAUGGGUCAAAGGCAUAAUGUUAAUAAUCAACUGAAAAUUACUUAGUCAGGAAAAGUGGUUUAUUGGAUUCCCUAUCUUUUGCUUAUAAUUAUUUUUUUUUCAAAUUUAAUAUUUCUCCAUCAAAUCUGACAAAUUCAUUAUUUUUUAUCAAUAAUUAUUAAACGAUGUCAGUAAUAAGAGUUUUGAGAAACAUGUGCAAGUAUAUGUACCAACAUCCAUGGGCAGAAUAUUUGCUCGAAGGGUACAUGCUACAGGGAAAUUUUAAAGUGUGCAACCAUAGGAUACAGGAAAAAAAGUUCUUGCAGACUUUGAUGUGAGUAGCCGAAAAUAUCCUACAUUAGUUCAGCACUAUUCAUCUGGAAGAAGAGAUGUGUCAAAGCAUUUUAAACAAUUUUAAAAGUUGCCUGCGCUAUAUUUGUUUAAUUGAUAUGCAGUUAGAAUUGAUCAAAUUCUGAAUGCAAGCUGACAAAUUUAUUUAGAAGGAGGGUAUUAACAUGAAUGUAUUUCAAUACAAGUAAGACGUCUCUGGCAGUCUUGCCUGCAUUAUUAUGCAAUUCAAUAUGGUCGCAUUUCAGACGUUCGGUAUGGAAAUGGGUGGAUAAUGGAAAAAGUAUAAUAUUAAAUUCAAUUAUCAAUCAAAAACAGACUUCUGGAAUGUCUCUCUACAGUUAUUAUUCAUGACAUGUCUAAUUAUACUAGACGAGUAGGAAAAUGUCAGCCAAUAUAAUAUUCAAAUUAAAAAAAAAAUUUAGUUCCAAUAAUUUAGAUAUAUUUCACUUCAAACUUUAAUUCAAAGACUACAGGCAUAACUUUUUAUACGCCCGUCUUGACGGGACGUAUUAUGGUAUCACGCUCGGUGUCCGUUCGUCCGUUAACUUUUCCUUGUAAACGCGAGAACUUAAGUUUAACUUAAUCUAGGCUCAUAUAAUUUGGUGCACGAUACUAGCAUGGAUCCCAGGAAGCCUAUUGAUUUUGUGGUCAGAAGGUCAAAGGUGAAGUCACCAUCUUCCACUUAUCUUGCUUGACCAAUAGCUCCAUUUUCCAUGUUACAGACGGGCAUAUUAUGUGCCCGCCUUAGCAACACUCUUGUUCGAUUUGAAGUGUAUUGAUUAAGAAGUUAUAGCAUGUAUGUUAAAUAGUAGGUUAAAAACAACUAAAAUAUAUAUUAUAAUGGCAAUGUAUUAUAUUGUGUCAUAAUAUGAAUUAUGACUGUAUGGUUUACAUUUCUAGUCAGUUAAAAUGCAAAGAACGAGAUUAAGAUUAUUUUUACAAAUUCAACCAUUUUGAAAAUAUAAAGGAAUGAGCUACAUGUGCAUGUCAUAUCCAAUCUAAUCAAUUACCAGUAGUCACUUAUCUGAUUUGUAAUUUAUAUUUAUAGUAUUUUUAAGUCUUGUAUCAUUUCAUUAAAAAAAAUUUCCACGGGGUACUGAAUUUGCCGGGCAUGUGAAGGUGAAAAUCAUUUUUCAGUUUUUUUUUAACAUUGUUAAAAUUAAAUGUACACUGUAAUUGAUAUGCAUACAAUGAUAAAUAACCAAUUUUUGUGGCUGUGUGAGUGGUACCGGUAGAUCACAUGAAAUUUGCAAAUAUGUUUUAAAAUGACUGAUUAUUUCAUAUUUAUAUUCAUUCUUUUUUUUUUGAGGGGGUAUAUAAUGCAUACCUGACAAGUGACCAUGGUUUUCAUUUAGGAGUUCAAUCCCUUCUCCUUUCAUCCAUAUUUUAUAGCUUUUAUAAAGUUACGAGGGUUUCAUUGACCCUACAGACAUGUUGAGAUUGAAUUUUACCUCCUGGAAUCUAAUCCAAACACAUAAAAUGAGGAGUAUCCAUAUCAGGUAAUGGUAAAUGAUUAUGUCUUAAACACAAUUUUUUCCAAACACAUAUAAAUUAUUCUAAUCAUGGGCUAUCAUGAAUUAAGUUUUAGGCUAUUUAUCCCAUAUUUCUCACGUUAGUCCAUAAUUAAUUUCCAUAUCGGUUGUUAUACAUGCUUAUUAAAAUAUUUUAUUGGAAGGUUUCAUUCAAGUAAAAUUAUUGUCUUGAUGUUUAUUUAUAUAUAUAUAUCUUUGUGCAUGUAAUGUCACUUGAGGGCAAAUUUUCAAAUGUGGUUCAAUAAAUAGAUGAAUGUGAAUGAAUCUCUAUCUGUAUCUAAACUUCCUAAAAUAUGUAGUAAUUCACUGCAAUUUUAUUGUAAAUUUUGAAUAAAAUUCGUUUAUA